CUACAAGAUAUGCAGCAGAAGCAGACAUCUAUGUCCCGUGACUCCACUGUAAACAAGAGAGCUCCGGUCACAAGAGAGAAUAAAAUGAAGCUGCCACUAAAUUGAAAGCCAAACUUUGUCUCCCAUACAUUCAUGUUUCUAAAGACAUGGUCACGGCUGCCUGAAGCAUGUCUUCUUCACUCAUAGCAUCUCCUGUUGGGAAAGAAAACAAGCAUCUCUCUCAGAUGUUUCUAGAAGAUUCUUAAAGUCAUCAAAAGGUAAGCUCUUAGAAAAUACAUUUGACUACUAUAGCUUCCUUUUAAAAAUUUUAAUACUUAAAUAAAGUAACAUGCACUCUUACAGUUUUAUAAGUUUUGACAAAUGGAUGGAGCCAUAUAACUACCAUCACCACCAGAUCCGGACCUGCCCACUGCUCUCCCAAAUUUGCACAUGCUGCCCCUUUGUGGUCAAUCCCCGUAAUACAUUUAUUCUAUAUUUCAAAACAAGUACAUUAUGCUAAAUGAAAAAUUAAACUUCGUGUGUGUGUGUGUAUACAUACAUAUACAUAAUUUGUUACCUUUGUUAUCUUGUUUUUAAACAAUUUAUUUACAGGAAGUUGCAAAGAUAGUUCAAAGGGCUCCUGUGUACAUUUUGGCUCAAUUUCACCCAAUAGUUAAAUCCUAAGGAACUACAGCCCCCCCAAACUUGGAUAUUGACAUUGGUACAAAGUUGUGUGUAGUUCUAUGCUAUUUCGUUACAUGUGUAGAUUUGUGUAACCACCAGCACCACAACCAGGACGGAGAACUGUUCAACUACCACAAAGAUUUCUUUCCUGCUGUCCCUUGAUUCACACCUACUUCUCUGCCCACAACUUCCCUAACUGCAGGCAGCCACUAAUUUGUUCUCCAUCUCUACAAAUUUUUCAUUUUUAUUUUUUAUUUUGAAGAUUUUAUUAAUUUAUUUGACAGAGAGAGAGAGAACACAAGUAGGGGGAGAGGCAGAGGGAUAAGGAGACUCCCUGGCUGAGCAGGGAACCCUAUGCAUGACUCAAUCCCGGGACCCUGGGAUCAUGACCUGAGCCAAAGGCGGAUGCUUAACCGACUGAACCACCCAGGUGCCCCCAAAUUUGUCAUUUUUAUAAUGUUACACAAAUAUAACCACACUGUAACAAAUCUUUCCUGCACUUAGCAUAGUGCCCUUGAGGGACAACCAAACUGCUCAUGUAUCAAGAGCUGGUUUCUUUUUAGUCCUGAGUAGUAUUUCAUAGAUAUACUACCACUUGUUUAAACUUCUCUGCCUUUCUGUAGAACAUUUUGGUUGUCUCCAGAUUUUGAUUAUGAGAAAUAAAACUGCUAUGAA